CGCGCCCUUUGAGUAUCAGUUGCCAUCUCUAAAUUGAACCGUGUUUGUAUUUACACCGGUGAAAAUGAGUAUACUGUCAUUAAAAUAGAACUCUUUAAGAAUAAUUGUGGUCUCUUGUGGAUCAAGGAAUAAACUGCUUACAGCAAAAGAGUAGCAAGGUCUUCCUGGCAAGAUGAUGCCUUUCUGGUGUUCUUCCUACCAACAGAGUAACCUCCUGAUCUCUAGAAGGAAUCCUGAAGCAUGUGCCAGAGACGCAGUUCCUAAAGUCUUUUUUUCUCUAUGGUUAGAGUGACUGGCCAACAUCCCCACAAAUCUAUUAAAGCAGGUUUUUGUGU
ensembl:lncRNA novel transcript